AUCUACAGCCACGGCAGCCUGAGCAAGCCCAGUCUCCUCUGAUCUCGGAAGCUAAGCAGGGCUAGGUCCGAUUAGUACUUGGAAGCGAGGAAGAGAAGCAGUGUGCUUUGGGUA
rnacentral:rRNA from 1 species